CAAAACCUGGUUGAUCCUGCCAGUAGUCAUACGCUCGUCUCAAAGAUUAAGCCAUGCAUGUCUAAGUAUAAACGAAUCUAUACUGUGAAACCGCGAAUGGCUCAUUAUAUCAGUUAUAGUUUAUUUGAUAAUUACUUUACUACUUGGAUAACCGUAGUAAUUCUAGAGCUAAUACAUGCGUCAAAGUUUAUCUUU
rnacentral:rRNA from 1 species